AGGAGAUUUUCUAAAUGAGUCUGGACUUGAGGAGACUGGUCAGCACUGAAGAGAGAAAUCUGGAGUCUUGAGUAGAUACGAUUCUACUUUAAGAUAUAAGACUGGAUGAGAGAGAAUGUAAUAGAGAAAAGAUAUUCAGAACUGAGCUCUGGGCACAUCAAAAUAGAAUUUCAGAGGAAACAGCACCAACGAGUAAAAGGAAAGUAAAGGGCUGACGAAGAAGUCGUGGAAACAAACUAUUUCAACAAGCAGCAGCAGCAGUUUGGAGAGGUUUAUUUAAAACAAGGCAGAAUUCCCUACUGCCCUAAAAGCCUCAACUUGGAAAACAGCACGGUGAAUGGAAGAAAACCAGGCCUGGGGACUGAGGGGCUGCUGUGGCUCUCAUCUUGAUAAGAAGAAAGGAUGAGCACCAACUUACCCCAGCUUCUGUCCAUCUGUAACACAUUUGCUGCUACAGAUUGUGUCUGUAUAGAGAAGAGAGAAGACGCAAAGCUCUUCUUCCAGUCCUUGAAGUCUGCAGCCUGGGUGUCUGCAGAGGACAAUGCCUUGUUCUUUAAGAUACCCAGCAUGGCACUGCAGUACAUCUAUAAAAAAUGUGCAUCAUAUCUUGAACAAGAUCAGGGACAUAGGAGUUUACUGUGGAAGACGAUGAUGAGAGAGAAGAGGAUAAAGAACUAAAAGUUAAGAAUCAGACCGGGCAUGGUGGCUCACACCUGUAAUCCUAGCACUUUGGGAAGCCAAUGUGGGUAGGUCACUUGAGGUUGGGAGUUCGAGACCAGCCUGGCCAACAUGGUGAAAUCCCGUCUCUACCAAAAAAUACAAAAAUUAGCCAGGCGCACCUGUAGUCCCAGCUACUCAGGAGGCUGAGGCAAGAGA
rnacentral:lncRNA from 1 species